rnacentral:rRNA from 1 species
UACGGAAGGCAGCAGUGGGGAAUAUUGCACAAUGGGCGCAAGCCUGAUGCAGCCAUGCCGCGUGUAUGAAAAAGGCCUUCGGGUUGUAAAGUACUUUCAGUCGUGAGGAAGGUGUUAAGGUUAAUAACCUUAGCAAUUGACGUUAGCGACAGAAGAAGCACCGGCUAACUCCGUGCCAGCAGCCGCGGUAAUACGGAGGGUGCGAGCGUUAAUCGGAAUUACUGGGCGUAAAGGGCACGCAGGCGGUUAAUUAAGUUGGAUGUGAAAUCCCCGGGCUUAACCUGGGAAUGGCAUUUCAAGACUGGUUAGCUAGAGUCUUGUAGAGGGGGUAGAAUUCCAUGUGUAGCGGUGAAAUGCGUAGAGAUGUGGAGGAAUACCGGUGGCGAAGGCGGCCCCUGGACAAAGACUGACGCUCAUGUGCGAAAGCGUGGGGAGCAAAACAGGGAUUAGAUACC